GGAAAAGAAACCAACAGGGAUUGCCUCAGUAACGGCGAGUGAAGCGGCAAAAGCUCAAAUUUGAAAUCUGGCUCUUUCAGGGUCCGAGUUGUAAUUUGUAGAAGAUGCUUCGGGUGUGGUCCCGGUCUAAGUUCCUUGGAACAGGACGUCAUAGAGGGUGAGAAUCCCGUAUGUGACUGGGUACCUACGCUCAUGUGAAGCUCUUUCGACGAGUCGAGUUGUUUGGGAAUGCAGCUCAAAAUGGGUGGUAAAUUUCAUCUAAAGCUAAAUACUGGCCAGAGACCGAUAGCGCACAAGUAGAGUGAUCGAAAGAUGAAAAGCACUUUGGAAAGAGAGUUAAACAGUACGUGAAAUUGUUGAAAGGGAAGCGCUUGCAAUCAGACUUGCGCCUAGUUGAUCAUCCGGGCUUCUGCCCGGUGCACUCGAUUAGGCUCAGGCCAGCAUCGGUUUGGGUGGCUGGAUAAAGGCCUGGGGAACGUAGCCUCUCUCGGGGGGUGUUAUAGCCCCAGGUGCAAUGCAGCCUACCUGGACCGAGGACCGCGCUUCGGC
rnacentral:rRNA from 1 species